rnacentral:rRNA from 1 species
UACGGAGGAUGCAAGCGUUAUCCGGAAUGAUUGGGCGUAAAGCGUCUGUAGGUGGUUUUAAAGUCUUCUGUCAAAGAUCAGGGCUUAACCCUGGGCCGGCAGAAGAAACUUAAAAGCUUGAGUUCGGUAGGGGCAGAGGGAAUUCCCGGUGUAGCGGUGAAAUGCGUAGAGAUCGGGAAGAACACCUGUGGCGAAAGCGGCUCACUGGACCAUAACUGACGCUGAUGCACGAAAGCUAGGGGAGCAAACAGG